AUGAAUUGUUUUUAUAUCUUUUUUUUUUUUAAUUAUUAUUAUUAUUUGUUUGCUUUCCCUUCCCUUGUCCAGAUUUCCCAGCUGCAAAGCCCCGGGACCUACUCUCGCCAGUCUCAGGGGCGUUCCCUCUAUCCCAGUCCUUCCUCUUCCCAGUCUCGGGGCGUUCCCUCUAUCCCAAUCCCUCCUCUUCCCAGUUUUGGAGGGUUCCCUCUAUCCCAGUCCUUCUUCUUCCUGCUCUCGGAGGUCUUCUCACUCUCGGGGGGUUCCCUCUAUCCCAAUCCCUCCUCUUCCCAGUUUUGGAGGGUUCCCUCUAUCCCAAUCCUUCUCCCCAGUCUUGGGAGGUUCCCUCUAUCCCAGUCCCUCCUCUUCCUGCUCUCGGGGGGUUCCCUCUAUCCCAAUCCCUCUUCUUCCCAGUCUCGGAGGGUUCCCUCUAUUCCAAUCCUUCUUCUCCCCAGUCUCGGGGCAUUCCCUCUAUCCCAGUCCCUCCUCUUCCUGCUCUUGAGGGCUUCCCUCUAUCCCAAUCCCUCCUCUUCCCAGUUUUGGAGGGUUCCCUCUAUCCCAGUCCCUCCUCUUCCCAGUUUUGGAGGGUUCCCUCUAUCCCAGUCCCUCAUUUUCCCACUCUCGGGGGGUUCCCUCUAUCCCAAUCCCUCUUCUUCUCACUCUUGGGGGGUUCCCUCUAUCCCAAUCCUUCUUCUUCUCACUCUUGGGGGGUUCCCUCUAUCCCAUUCCCUCCUCUUCCCAGUCUUGGGGGGGUUCCCUCUAUCCCAGUCCCUCCUCUUCCCACUCUUGGGGGGUUCCCUCUAUCCCAAUCCCUCCUCUUCUGAGUCUUGGAGGGUUCCCUCUAUCCCAAUCCUUCUUCUCUCCAGUCUCGGGGCAUUCCCUCUAUCCCAAUCCCUCGUUUUCCCACUCUCUGGGGGUUCCCUCUAUCCCAAUCCCUCCUCUUCCCACUGUUGGGGGGUUCCCUCUAUCCCAGUCCUUCCUCUUCCCAGUUUUGGAGGGUUCCCUCUAUUCCAGUCCCUCCUCUUCCCAGUCUCGGAGGGUUCCCUCUAUCCCAGUCCCUCCUCUUCCCACUCUCAGGGGGGUUCCCUCUAUCCCAAUCCCUCUUCUUCCCAGUCUCAGAGGGUUCCCUCUAUCCCAGUCCUUCUUCUCCCCAGUCUCGGGGCAUUCCCUCUAUCCCAAUCCCUCUUCUUCUCACUCUCGGGGGGUUCCCUCUAUCCCAAUCCCUCCUCUUCCCAGUUUUGGAGGGUUCCCUCUAUCCCAAUCCUUCUUCUUCCUGCUCUCAGAGGGUUCCCUCUAUCCCAAUCCUUCUUCUCCCCAGUCUCGGGGCAUCCCCUCUAUCCCAAUCCCUCUUCUUCUCACUCUUGGGGGGUUCCCUCUAUCCCAAUCCUUCUUCUUCUCACUCUUGGGGGGUUCCCUCUAUCCCAUUCCCUCCUCUUCCCAGUCUUGGGGGGGUUCCCUCUAUCCCAGUCCCUCCUCUUCCCACUCUUGGGGGGUUCCCUCUAUCCCAAUCCCUCCUCUUCUGAGUCUUGGAGGGUUCCCUCUAUCCCAAUCCUUCUUCUCUCCAGUCUCGGGGCAUUCCCUCUAUCCCAAUCCCUCGUUUUCCCACUCUCUGGGGGUUCCCUCUAUCCCAAUCCCUCCUCUUCCCACUGUUGGGGGGUUCCCUCUAUCCCAGUCCUUCCUCUUCCCAGUUUUGGAGGGUUCCCUCUAUUCCAGUCCCUCCUCUUCCCAGUCUCGGAGGGUUCCCUCUAUCCCAGUCCCUCCUCUUCCCACUCUCAGGGGGGUUCCCUCUAUCCCAAUCCUUCUUCUUCUCACUCUUGGGGGGUUCCCUCUAUCCCAUUCCCUCCUCUUCCCAGUCUUGGGGGGGUUCCCUCUAUCCCAGUCCCUCCUCUUCCCACUCUUGGGGGGUUCCCUCUAUCCCAAUCCCUCUUCUUCCCAGUCUCGGAGGGUUCCCUCUAUCCCAGUCCCUCCUCUUGCCUGUUUUGGAAGGUUCCCUCUAUUCCAAUCCUUCUUCUUCCUGCUCUCGGGGGGUUCCCUCUAUCCCAAUCCCUCCUCUUCUGA
rnacentral:lncRNA from 1 species